rnacentral:sRNA from 1 species
CAGCGGAAAAAUGCCGACCUCGUCCUGUCAUGCUCGCAUGAACAGGACGGGGGAGGCAUUUGUCCGCGCCCCUCAAUGAGGAAGGAGCGGGGUAGGGGCCCCGCGGAAUCCGAAUUGAGGGGCAGAGCGCGGGAGCGCGAAGCGCGCAGCGCUCUGU